rnacentral:rRNA from 1 species
AGUGAACGCUGGCGGUAGGCCUAACACAUGCAAGUCGAACGGCAGCACAGUAAGCGCUUGCUCUUACGGGUGGCGGGUGGCGGACGGGUGAGGAAUACAUCGGAAUCUACUUUUUCGUGGGGGAUAACGUAGGGAAACUUACGCUAAUACCGCAUACGACCUACGGGUGAAAGCAGGGGAUCUUCGGACCUUGCGCGAUUGAAUGAGCCGAUGUCGGAUUAGCUAGUUGGCGGGGUAAAGGCCCACCAAGGCGACGAUCCGUAGCUGGUCUGAGAGGAUGAUCAGCCACACUGGAACUGAGACACGGUCCAGACUCCUACGGGAGGCAGCAGUGGGGAAUAUUGGACAAUGGGCGCAAGCCUGAUCCAGCCAUACCGCGUGGGUGAAGAAGGCCUUCGGGUUGUAAAGCCCUUUUGUUGGGAAAGAAAAGCAGCAGGUUAAUACCCCGCUGUUCUGACGGUACCCAAAGAAUAAGCACCGGCUAACUUCGUG